GAAAAGGAGCUCCGGCGAGAUUUUCAAUCUCCGGUUAGGACGAAAUCGAAGCCGGGUGUAAGCACACCCAACUCCGGCGACCUCGGGGGUUAUUCCGGCCAUCUCCGGUCGUUCCACGACGAAAGGAAGGUGAAAUUAUUAACGGUGAUUCCGCUAUACCUUUUUGGUACAGCUUUGCAUCAUCGGUGUACGG